rnacentral:lncRNA from 1 species
AGCAGAAUAGUUUUUACAAAGUUUUCUGACCUUCUUUCCUAUAGACUUUUUUUUUUCUCCCCUAACUGGCUUAUAAGAGCUUUUUGUAUAUUCGAAUAUUGCAAAUAUACUUUCUGGGUUGUUGAUCUGGAUUAUGCCUUUUUGGUAUAGACUUUUAAGCAUUACAUAGUUAACUCUCUUUUACUGAUCUGGCAGGUGUGUUCUCAUGAGCACUUUGCAUGACCAGCAUUUGCAUUGAUAGACUUCGCUUCUGUGGUCUAUAACUGAGCUAUGAUGUCAUUAAAUAUGAGCUCUUUACCUGGAAUUUGUUCUCAGACGUGGCAUCCCAAAUGCGAUGAUGGUUGAGAGGAGGCGUCUAGGAUGCCCUGAAAGGUUUUCUGUGCUAACCUGCUAGUCUGAGGGCGGGAUGGGAACUCGAGACGUUUAGAAGGGAGGUUUCCUUGCAAAGUGUUAAUGACACUGGGAGCAUUACCUGCCUAUGGGUGAACAUGGAUCAACCAACCAGCUUUCCUAUUUUGAAAAUGCUUAUUUGCUGAAGACAUUUGGGCACUGAUGGCUGUUUGCGGUGUUUUAACAGAGGAUGAAGAGUACCCUAACCUUGGCACCAGCACUGGUUAAGAUGUCUGGUAUUGUCACUGUCAGCUUCACUCCCAAAUUAUUCCGUAGACAUGUAGGAGAGAAACUGGUCAGACAGCCUCAUGUGUCUUUGCCUUACCUGCAUACCUGUUUCGGUUGAUAAGACGUUUAGGCAAGACACAGCUGCUGGAGAAAGCUUGAUGGCAUGGUUUAGGGUUUGUUGAUGUUAAUAUUAUUGUUAAGGAGGAUUUAAUGAGCCGGAUGGUGUUCUGGGCACUUUACAUGAAUUAGCUCAUUUAGUCCCCAUUUCUCAGAUAAGGAAACUGAGACUGGAAAAGAGAGGCAUCUUGGCUCAAAUCAUCUAGUUAAGUGAAUAGUAGAAUGAAGAUUCUAAAUCAUUUUUUCCCCUGAAACCCAAGACUCUUGAGAACUAUCAAAGGAAUUCAGAAAUGGAACAGCUUUGAAACCAUAGCUAUCUUUGCAAAACCUGGGAGGAAUAGUCCAAAAAUAAGGGGAAGGCACUGCCUUAUCUAGAGCCACGAGGGAUCUGUAGCAGCUGCAGUACGAAAUAAAAGCUAGUCCCGGCAUCAGAAGAUUCACCACAAACUUGACAGUAUUUUCUGACUGUUAGAAUUUUUGGCUACAAAACAGGAAAUAUUUCUCCAAAGCACAGCACUUGAGAAAAUGUGACAUGCCAUGAGGAAACUGGUGAAACAACAGUCACCCAGAUGAUCCAAAAGCGAGGUAAGACGAGCUGAUGUUGACACGGAAGCUGACAGUGUCUGUAAAAUCCGACUAUGUGCUGACUCAAGGAAGUGCAACCAAAUGUGUACUUUCUGAGUGAGCCCUGGGUGUGUGUGUGUGAGUGAAAAUGUCUCUCUCCCCUGAAGGUAGGAAGGAAGAUUGGAUGGUCCAGGAAUAUAUCCAGGAGCAGAAAAAGGCAGGUGUAUCAACUUCCAGCGAUGUUUGGUUAACCUCUUAGGAAGUGUGUUUUGAGGGCUUUGAAACUAUCAGACCAGUUGCUGUGGUGUUUGUUGUUGUUGUUUUAAUUUAGUCACUUCGGCAUUCCAUGGGAAUGUCAUCCUUUUCCUUUUGCCGUAGAACAGUUUAAAAUUCAUGUCUGUGGUUGUAGACUAUGAUUAAUAUUCAAUGUGUCUGACCUUGGUGCUCUCCGAUUGGUCUAUAGAAAAGCGAUACAAAAUAGCCAUUUAUAAAAUUACCCUUAAACCUAUGUUUGUUUUUACUUCUUAACUUUGCAAUAACACAUAGGCCCCCGUAUGUACUUUUACUCUAGAGUCAUUACAUAUUUCUUUUUCUUUUUUUGUUUUUUUGGGCCACAUCCGUGACACACGGAGGUUCCCAGGCUAGGGAUUGAAUUGAAGCUGCAUCUGCGACCUACACCACAGUUCACAGCAAGGCCAGCUCCUUAACCCACUGAGGCAGCCAGGGAUUGAACCUGUGUCUUCAUGGAUACUGGCAGGGUUUGUUACCACUGCACCACGGUGGGAACUCCCUAGUAACCAUUGUUCACAUCUUAGAAGUAAAUCUGACAAUUGAACAUUGAGCCUAAAAGUGAACCUUCUUUAACUUUAGAAUUUAAAGCUCAGAGGACGUUAAUGCUCGGAUGGGGUUCUCCACCACCACCAACAAACUCCAUGAAAACCGAUGGCUUGUAUCAUUGUGGGAUAUUGUUGCUGUGCAUUUCCAUAAUAAAAACACUAAAAAAGACAAGAUGCUAUAAAACAAAUGAAAAACAUGAGUCCUAGAGGCAUCGAUGAUAAAAAUGUAAAUAUAUGAAAAUAACUCACAGCUUCUUUGAGCCGUUAUGUUGAAACCAAAUCAAACACUUCAGAAAAUGUCAAAUUGGAGGAUUUGCAUGUGUCAGUUUUCAUUAGGGAUUUUCACCUCCCCACUGCCAGCUUAGAUAAAGCCUGUGCUUGGAUAGACCCAAUCGCCUGCCAAAACGGAAGAAAUGGACUCAAAAGGGAGUAAACAAAACCUCUGCAAAAGCCCCUGUAUGAGCUGGCAUCACAGCCAAGACAGCCACUGGAAACAAGAAGUUGUUCCGAUGCACUUGCCCUUGAGAUGACCUUUCGAGUGUGACUCUCGUCUGCUUGGGGCUGGUAAGAAGCUACUCCCCUGCUCAUCUUCUGAUAAUCAAAGAAGGCUUGAGCCUCCAUGGUAGUUAAUUAAUUCCUUUAAGUCCACACUCAUGUAAUGUAUUUGAUCCAGAUUUGAUUAGGAAGAUGGAUGGUAGUUAAAAAAAAAAAAAAAGAUUUUGUUAUGCUGAAAUUACCUUUUUAAUGAAAAAUACUUGCUUUCCUGAAAAUGUUUUAUUUACUAUUUUUCUUUGUUAAAAAUAGAGUUCCCUUGUGGCUCAGCUGGUUAAGGAUCCCCUGUUGUCAUUGCUCUGGUUACAGCUGUGGUGGAUUUGAUCCCUGGCGCCAGGGACUUAAGCAUGCUGUGAGGUCAGCCAAAAAAAUAGAAUAGUCUCAACUAUCUAUUACUUCAAUUAUUUCUAGUUAGAUGUUGAGUUUAGAACUGUGUCCUAAACUUCAAAACUUAACAACAAAGAAAAUUGUGGAGUUCCCACUGUGGCUCAGCAGGUUAAGAACCUGAUGUAGCCUCUGUAAGGAUGCGGGUUCAGUCCCUGGCCUUGAUCAUUAAGGAUCUGGCAUUGCCACAUCCUGCAGCGUAGGUCGCAGAUGCGGCUGGGAUCUGGCAUUGCAAAAAGAAAAAAAUAAGUAAAAACUUAAAAAAUGAUGAUGCAGGAUAGUUUUUUUUCUUGUAAUUCAAAGUGGAAUAAAGAAAAGGUAGCAAAGAGGCUCUUUUUAUUCUAAUCCCAUCUAUCACCUGCUUUUCUUCCCAGUCAUUACUUGAAAAUUGGUGAGAGGCAGGCAGCUCUUGCUGUUUUCUUAAAAACUUUCUUGACGCAGUUUUAGGUUUACACUGACGUUGCAAGGAAGGCGGGCAACAUCGCAUGUUUUCCCUGCUCUUGUCACUUUUCAUCCUUUCCUUUGCUUCAAGCCCCGAAGUCAGAAAACCCACGGGUGAGAGGUUCACUCAGGAAUGACUUUGGGGAAUCGAACCACAGACAGGAACUGGUGAUGUGAUCAGGGGAGAGUCAGAAUGCUCCCUACCGUGUGUGGUGGAGGAGAUUUAAAAAAAACAACACCUCUGUGUCUUUGAUCUGAGUUGGAAGCUUGAAUGGAACAAGUGCAUUGAUAAAUCAAUUCAGUGUGUUUUCUGCAGGAAGUACAAUGCGUUUCAUGUCGAACACACACUAGGCAUACUCAUCCAGGAAUUUAUCAUCUUUGUUCCCACCCAAAUGUUUCAAAUGAAAACGCCCAAGACAUUAGAACGUCAUAUAUGAAUAAUCGAUAUCAAUGCUGCUUUCCAAGAAAUCCUCAUUUACUUAAUGUUUGAUCCCCGUUUCAGUCGUUUCUCCCCAUCUGGCAGUUGUCACUUGGGCAGAUGGCCACCAGCUGGGAGGGCAGCCUGUCUGCCUCCCUCAGGACCCGAGGGGCUCAGUAGACCCCAUGUGCAAGUGCACUGCGUAGACCCCAUGUGCAAGCUCAACCCGCCACCACCAGAAAGCUCCCAGAGGCACCUGCUUUAUGCAUCUGGGAUCUUACGUUACUUUUUUUUUUUUAAAUGGGUAUGCUAUUUUAUUAACACUUAAAAUUUCACU